AGCAGUCGCCGCGGUAAUACGAAGGGUGCAAGCGUUAAUCGGAAUUACUGGGCGUAAAGCGCGCGUAGGUGGUUUGGUAAGAUGGAUGUGAAAUCCCCGGGCUCAACCUGGGAACUGCAUCCAUAACUGCCUGACUAGAGUACGGUAGAGGGUGGUGGAAUUUCCUGUGUAGCGGUGAAAUGCGUAGAUAUAGGAAGGAACACCAGUGGCGAAGGCGACCACCUGGACUGAUACUGACACUGAGGUGCGAAAGCGUGGGGAGCAAACAGGAUUAGAGACCCCCGUAGUCCCUGUCUCUUAUAC
rnacentral:rRNA from 1 species